rnacentral:rRNA from 1 species
UCGAGCGGUUGUGCAAUACAACAGCGGCGGACGGGUGAGUAACACGUGGGCAACCUGGCCUUAAGAGGGGGAUAACGUUUCGAAAGGAACGCUAAUACCGCGUAACGCAGAGAGAUCACAUGAUCUCAUUGCAAAAGGAGAAAUCCGCUUAAGGAUGGGCCCGCGGCCUAUUAGCUAGUUGGUAAGGGUAAUGGCCUACCAAGGCGACGAUAGGUAGCCGACCUGAGAGGGUGAACGGCCACACUGGAACUGAGAACGGUCCAGACUCCUACGGGAGGCAGCAGUAGGGAAUAUUCCGCAAUGGGCGAAAGCCUGACGGAGCAACGCCGCGUGAGUGAAGAAGAUCUUCGGAUUGUAAAGCUCUGUCAACAGGGACGAUAAUGACGGUACCUGUGGAGGAAGCCACGGCAAACUACGUGCCAGCAGCCGCGGUAAUACGUAGGUGGCAAGCGUUGUCCGGAAUAACUGGGCGUAAAGCGCAUGUAGACGGCAUAGCAAGCCAAAUGUGAAAUUUAGGGGCUUAACCUCUAAACUGCGUUUGGAACUGCUGAGCUUGAGUGCAGGAGAGGCAAGUGGAAUUCCCAGUGUAGCAGUGAAAUGCGUAGAUAUUGGGAGGAACACCAGUGGCGAAGGCGACUUGCUGGACUGCAACUGACGUUGAGAUGCGAAAGCUAGGGGAGCAAACGGGAUUAGAUACCCCGGUAGUCCUAGCUGUAAACGAUGGAUACUAGGUGUGGGAGGUAUCGACCCCUUCCGUGCCGCAGCGAACGCAAUAAGUAUCCCGCCUGGGGAGUACGGUCGCAAGAUUGAAACUCAAAGGAAUUGACGGGGGCCCGCACAAGCAGUGGAGCAUGUGGUUUAA